rnacentral:rRNA from 1 species
AACGCACAUUGCGCUCCUCGGUGUUCCGAGGAGCAUGCCUGUUUGAGUGUCAGUAAAUUCUCAACCCCUCUCGAUUCGCUUCGAGGGGGAGCUUGGAUAGUGGGGGCUGCCGGAGACCUGGACUCGCGUCCAGGACUUGGGCUCUCCUGAAAUGCAUCGGCUUGCGAUCGACUUUUGACUUUGCGUGACAAGGCUUUCGGCGUGAUAAUGAUCGCCGUCUUCCGAAGCGCAUGAAGGGAAGGUCUCAUGCCUCCAACAUGUCGACGGCGACGUCUUCCUUCUUUAUGUUUGACCUCAAAUCAGGUAGGACUACCCGCUGAACUUAA